UAUAAGCGUAUAGAAAUUUCGACAAUGACAGACGGAAUCCAAAAAGGAAUAAAAUAAUAUUUCCUACGAAUGGUUAUGAUUAAUUUGUUAAAAAUAUCUCAAAUAAAAAUUAACGAUUAUGAUCAAUCUAUUAAAUAUAAAAUAAUAUUUCCUACGAAUGAUUAUGAUUAAUUUGUUAAAAAUAUGUUAAAUAACAACGAACGGUUAUGAUCAAUCUAUUAAAUUUCUACUACAUAUAAAAAUCUAUUCCCUAUAAAUGGUUAUGAUCAAUUUGUUAAAAAAAUAUCUCAAAAAAGAACAAUUAUAAUCAAUCUAUUAAAAAAUAGCAUUCGCAUCCAUUUAGCUAUAAAUUCAAUCCUUUGAAUGAUUAUAAUCAAUUUGUUAAAAAAUAUCUCAAAUUAAAACAAACGGUUAUGAUCAAUUUUUUAAAAAAUAACAUUUCUAUUAAUCUGUUUUACAUUAAAAUAAAAAUUUGAGUUUAAAUUAUAAAUUUAAUUUAAUUUUUUGAUAUCAAAUUUGAAUUAAUAAUUAAUUUUUUUAUUACAAUGGAUCAAAAUUAAAUUUUAAAUUUUAAAUUAAAUAUGAAUUAAAUUUUGAUGCUUUUAGUUUAAAACACAUAUUUAAAUUUGAUUCAUCAAAAAUCAAAAAAUAUAUAAAAAUGUUCG
rnacentral:lncRNA from 1 species